UGGGGAAUCUUCCGCAAUGGGCGAAAGCCUGACGGAGCAACGCCGCGUGAGUGAAGACGGCCUUCGGGUUGUAAAGCUCUGUUAUACGGGANNAUAUUUUUUUUUUAUAAACAAAAAGAAANNNNGACGGUACCGUAAGAGAAAGCCACGGCUAACUACGUGCCAGCAGCCGCGGUAAUACGUAGGUGGCAAGCGUUGUCCGGAAUUAUUGGGCGUAAAGGGCGCGCAGGCGGCUUCUUAAGUCUGUCUUAAAAGUGCGGGGCUUAACCCCGUGAUGGGAUGGAAACUGCUGAUCUAGAGUAUCGGAGAGGAGAGUGGAAUUCCUAGUGUAGCGGUGAAAUGCGUAGAUAUUAGGAAGAACACCAGUGGCGAAGGCGACUUUCUGGACGAAAACUGACGCUGAGGCGCGAAAGCCAGGGGAGCGAACGGGAUUAGAUACCCCGGUAGUCCUGGCCGUAAACGAUGGGUACUAGGUGUAGGAGGUAUCGACCCCUUCUGUGCCGGAGUUAACGCAAUAAGUACCCCGCCUGGGGAGUACGACCGCAAGGUUG
rnacentral:rRNA from 1 species